rnacentral:lncRNA from 1 species
GAGGUUUUUAAAUAUCUCGGUAAUUUAAUGAUUUAUUUAAUACUUAAGUACAUGGAAGGAAUAUUAGAUGCUGGUUAAAACCAAACGUUGAGAGAACACUGAUCUUUAAAAUGAGUCAUCCGGAUCAUUGAACCUCAGAAGGUAAACGGGAGUUGAUAACCCACCCUCUACUCUCUGAUUCGGCUCUCUAUGAAUGAAUUUUUUAAAUAAAGUUUUUUAGCAGUUCAUUGUGAAAAAUAUCAUGAGAAUUGAUUGAGGCUAAAAAUCAAAAAUUU